rnacentral:other from 1 species
AAGACCCUGGGGCAUUCGUGAUGUGCUUUUUUCCUUAGAGCCAACACCUAACACUGGGGGGCUGGCUCUGGAUGAAGGCAAGCAUGCCUCGAAAGAGGAAGUGAGCCUUCAUCUGCGAGGCUCCCACCUAUCGUUGUUAGGUUCUAGGAAGAAGACAACACACGGUGUCCCUGGGGUUUUU